CGGCGGACGGGUGAGUAACGCGUGGAUAACCUGCCUCACACAGGGGGAUAACAGUUAGAAAUGACUGCUAAUACCGCAUAAGCGCACGGUACCGCAUGGUACAGUGUGAAAAACUCCGGUGGUGUGAGGUGGAUCCGCGUCUGAUUAGGUAGUUGGUGAGGUAACGGCCCACCAAGCCGACGAUCAGUAGCCGACCUGAGAGGGUGACCGGCCACAUUGGGACUGAGACACGGCCCAA
rnacentral:rRNA from 1 species